rnacentral:rRNA from 1 species
GUGCCAGCCGCCGCGGUAAUACAGAGGUCCCAAGCGUUGUUCGGAUUUACUGGGCGUAAAGGGCGCGUAGGUGGUAGGCUAAGUCUGGUGUGAAAGCUCUGAGCUUAACUCAGAAAUGGCACUAGAUACUAGUUUGCUUGAGGGUUGGAGGGGAGACUGGAAUUCUCGGUGUAGCAGUGAAAUGCGUAGAUAUCGAGAGGAACACCAGUGGCGAAGGCGAGUCUCUGGACAACUCCUGACACUGAGGCGCGAAAGCUAGGGGAGCAAACGGGAUUAGAAACCCGAGUAGUCC